AAUCCCUCCUGCUGCAACCACACUCCCACUCCUUUUCCUUCUUUUACAUGUGAGCUGAGAUCAGCAAAUCCCAGGCCACCUGAGGAGAGGCCCCAGGCGGGCGGAGGCCAUAAGAGGUGGGAGGAGAUGAGCGGUGGGAUUGAGUCCCUCCCGAACCUCUGCUGGCACCUCAACGAGUGAAGCCCCGGACUGUGGGAGCCCACGGAACCCGGCAGACAGCACUGUCCAAACCCCUUGUCUGAAAAAUGAAGAAAGCUGCCCCCAAGGGCCGUGAGUUCUCACAUCACACAGCUUGGCUGAGCCUUCCCCAUGGGGAAGCAUCGGUCGUGCAAGAGGAACCUGGUGGCUUCUUAGCGAUUGCCUGACACGAAUCCACAAGCUCCCUGCUCUGCCACAUGUCAACGGCUCCAGACUUCCCAACGCGGCCCCUGUUACCCCGCACACCAAAUGCACGUCUUCAUUUUGAACUAAA